AGCAGCCGCGGUAAUUCCAGCUCCAAUAGCGUAUAUUAAAGUUGUUGCAGUUAAAAAGCUCGUAGUUGAAUUUCGGGAUUGGCGCAUCGGUCGUGCCUCACGGGGUAUGAACUGGUGCAGUCAAUUUCUCACCUUCUGGAGAACCGCGAUGUCCUUAAUUGGAUGCCGCGGGGAACCAGGACCUUUACUUUGAAAAAUUAGAGUGUUUAAAGCAGGCAUUUUUGCUUGAAUACAUUAGCACGGAAUAAUAAAAUAGGACGGCAUGGUUCUAUUUUGUUGGUUUCUAGGACCACCGUAAUGAUUAAUAGGGAUAGUUGGGGGCAUUAGUAUUCAAUUGUCAGAGGUGAAAUUCUUGGAUUUAUUGAAGACUAACUACUGCGAAAGCAUUUGCCAAGGAUGUUUUCAUUAAUCAAGAACGAAAGUUAGGGGAGUCGAAGACGAUCAGAUACCGUCGUAGU
rnacentral:rRNA from 1 species